AAAAUGAUCUGGACAAACUGGAGAAAUGGUCUGAAGUAAAUAGGAUAAAAUUAAUAAAGACAAAUGCAAAGUGCUCCAUUUAGGAAGGAACAAUCAGUUUCAUACAUA